GGUUCCGUAGUGUAGUGGUUAUCACGUUCCGCUUCACGCGAGCGUCUCCGGUUCCAACCCCGACUGAACCA